rnacentral:misc_RNA from 1 species
GAUGAAGAACGUAGUGAAAUGCGAUACGUAAUGUGAAUUGCAGAAUUCAGUGAAUCAUCGAAUCUUUGAACGCAUAUUGCGCUCUCUGGUAUUCCGGAGAGCAUGCCUGUUUGAGUAUCAGUAAACACCUCAACUUCCAUAUCUUUUUUGAAAUGGGAGUUGGACUUGAGUGAUCCCAACGCUUUUCCUCACCGAAAAGUGGCGGGUUACUUGAAAUGCAGGUGCAGCUGGACUUUUCUCUGAGCUAUAAGCAUAUCUAUUUAGUCUGCCUAAAAAACAGAUUAUUACCUUUGCUGCAGCUAACAUAAAGGAGAUUAGUUCUUGUGCUGACUGAUGCAGGAUUCACAAAGACAGGCUUCGGCCGACUUUGUAAACUCGAUCUCAAAUCAAGUAAGACUACCCGCUGAACUUAAGCAUAUCAAUAAGCGGAGGA